AUUCAUCCGUGUGGGUUGGGGGUGAGUGUUUAAAAAGGAUAGAGGAAUCUGAGGAGAAGGGUAGGGGUGGAGGAGAGCCAGGAGGAAAAAGGGGGAGCUGGACGUGGGGGCUGCAAGUGUUUAAAAAGGAUAGAGGAAUCUGAGGAGAAGGGUAGGGGUGGAGGAGAGCCAGGAGGAAAAAGGGGGAGCUGGACGUGGGGGCUGCAGGGACGGGGGCGGCAGGCUCUGGAGGGCUCAGAUCCAAGGGAGCUGCUCUGAAAAACUGGGCAAACUAGCCAGAGACGGUUGUGUCCAGCUCGGCUCCAAAGAAAGUAAUUUUUGCCACUUGGAGGUGAGGAUGGGGGUGGAAGUGGGGAGUAGGCACAGAAGAGUAGCUGUCUGCAGGUUGUGCAGGAGGCCUAAGAGGGGUCUCCCUCCGGCCACCCCCUUGAGAAGCCCUGGAAGUUUUUUCACAGCCUCUCCAGCUGGCUGAAGGGUUGAGCGAUUCUCUCCGCAACAACUCCGGCUGUCCCUGCAGGAAAUACGGCUCUCUCUAACCCUGCUGACAGAUUUUACGGCCAGAUUAGAGAACAGCAGAAAACUUGGGUGUUAAAAGGGGCCAAGAGAACCUUCCUUCCCAGAGUCGCCGCUUCCCUGCCCCCCUGUUGUGCUGUGAAUCUUACUGUACAGAUAUUUCCCCCUCGACUUUGGCUGCUUAGCUAGGGGCUGAAAUCUCUAAGAGAGAAGGGAGGAGGACACCAAGCCAAGGUAGCCCUUAUUUUUCUUGAUUGCAAUUCCAAUUUCAAGCCAAAGCUCUGUUUUUCAAACUCAAGUUAAACUUUCUGACUUGGCCUGCCCCUCUCCUACUAGAUAAAUAAUCAGUCCACUCUACAUCUAGAGCCAAACAAGGCGCUUCAUCUAGUUACACCAUUCAGAAAAUGUUAUUCAGGGAAGAGGAAGAGAGAGAGAAAGAAAGAAAAACCCUUGAGCGUUAUUUGAUCCCAAACAAACUUUGUACGCUCUUAUGCCUUUAAAUUAUAGCUUGACCCAGUGCUAAAUUGCUUGCUGCUUGGAUGAGCCUAGUCCAGUUAAAAUCCUACUUGGUGGUGGUGUGGGGGGUGGGGUGAAGAAUUCAGGUUGCUUUUUUAUUGUUAUUUAUUGUUGCAUAAAGGCUAUAAUUACUAACCUUAGACUGCCAGGAUACAACAUAAAAAUGAAAAUCAGCCCUGGCUUUAAGGCUGAGGGCCUGGAACGAUUCUCACCGACACGCCCCCCACCCCCACCAUCUCUACCACCAAAUAUAUGCUCCUAAUUAAGCAAUGCUAGAGCAUCGCUUACAAUUAGAAUUAUGCAACUCUUCAGCAAGCAGCCAUCGCUUCUCUUUCAACGAAUUAGCUCCAUAUUUCAGCUUCCCUGUCUCCUAGCUCUUAUCGGCUCCAGCGAUGCGGCGGUGACAUUUCAUCUUUGACAGACCCUCUCUAUCCUCGCUCCAAUGUGAUAAAACUUUUAUGGAACCACGACUAAGAAAUGAAGUUUUCCCAAGGAUCGUGGAAACAGAGCGGCACAUUAGCCUGGGGACCAUUUUAUACCCAAUGGUGGUUGGGCUUCGGGUCACGUGACGACUUCUUUGUAGCUCCGGAAGAGAACUGUGAAGUUUAGGAGAAUUGCCAGGAAAGAAAAAUCAAGAUUUGGGGGAAUUAACCACAUAGAAGGAAGGUGUGUUAACUUGGGCGCUUCUUGGAUUCUACCCUGAGGAGGAGGCGCAUGAUCUUGAUCUGCCGCUCGCUGAGGUUCAGCAAGUUGGCCAUCUCCACGCGGCGCGGCCGGCACAGGUAGCGGUUGAAGUGGAACUCCUUCUCCAGCUCCACCAGCUGCGCGCUCGUGUACGCCGUCCGCGCCCGCUUGGAGGCCGCAGACCCCGGGGGGCUCUUGUCCCCUCCCCCGCCGCCACCCCCGCUGCCGCCACUGCCGCCGCCGCCUCCUCCGCCGCCGCCGCAGCCCUCC